AUUGAACGCUGGCGGCAUGCUUUACACAUGCAAGUCGAACGGUAACAGGCCGCAAGGUGCUGACGAGUGGCGAACGGGUGAGUAAUGCAUCGGAACGUGCCCAGUCGUGGGGGAUAACUACUCGAAAGAGUAGCUAAUACCGCAUACGAUCUAUGGAUGAAAGCGGGGGACCGUAAGGCCUCGCGCGAUUGGAGCGGCCGAUGUCAGAUUAGGUAGUUGGUGGGGUAAAGGCUCACCAAGCCAACGAUCUGUAGCUGGUCUGAGAGGACAACCAGCCACACUGGGACUGAGACACGGCCCAGACUCCCACGGGAGGCAGCAGUGGGGAAUUUUGGACAAUGGGCGCAAGCCUGAUCCAGCAAUGCCGCGUGCAGGAAGAAGGCCUUCGGGUUGUAAACUGCUUUUGUACGGAACGAAACGGCUCUGGUUAAUACCCGGGGCUAAUGACGGUACCGUAAGAAUAAGCACCGGCUAACUACGUG
rnacentral:rRNA from 1 species